rnacentral:lncRNA from 1 species
AUGCUAAGAUGGGGGUCCCCCCUCCUCGGUUUGCUCGCAGAGGUGGGUGUGAGAACCUAUAGGAGUGUCUGGAAGAGAUCCUGCGGAAGUCAUUUUGCCCAGAGCUGGAGGAGAAGCAAAAGCUGUCGAGAUGUGGACCCAUCAGAAGUUUUGCCACACGUGUUGGGGAGCAGAGAGGUGAGACAAAGGUCGCCUGGGAUAGCACGCAUACCGGUCUUCAUGCUAGCCAGAGGUCCGUGCGUCCCUGCUAUGCCCUUGUGUUUCUUUGUACUUCACACUGUGGACAGUAGAAUCAGGAGCCAGAGGGUGAAUUUAAUUUGGAACAGACCCCCCUGUCUUGAUAGAACUGCCUUUACUCAGGCUCAAACACAGCAACCUGCAAUUUCCUGAGGCCGUAACUCAGCCGGGGCUCUCACAGGCUCUAAAAAUGAAGUCCAGACUCAGCACCUCUCAGAGCUCACCCAGCUCCUACCAACAACACAGAGUGGUGUGGACGCCCGAGUCAGUCGAGUAGCAAUGGUUUUCUCCCUGAUGUAAUCAAACGGAGUGCACGGAUAUCACUUGAUUAACAGCUGCGGUAUUAAUUUCCCUUUUUGGUUGCUUGACUCACAGCAAGAAUCAUGUCAAGGCAGCAGAGAAGCAAUUAAAUUGAUUUUAAUCUUUGUCAGAGAAGAUAACAUGCCUCUUUCUCUUCUCAUUUAAAUAAUUAAAGUUUCAGUAGGUAUUAUUUCUGGCUUUAAAGAAAUUGGUAUCUUAAUGUAAUAGAAUCCUUGUAAUUAUAUACUUAAUGGUUCUUAAUAAGUUAAUCAUGGUUUUUCAUUUAAAAUGUAUUUUUUACUUAUUAAAUUUUUUUUGUUAUAGUAUCUUUGCUUUUAAGGAGAAGGGGGAAACACAAAGAAAUGGAUAUAAAACAGUUCUGUCAUUUCUCAUUAUUAAUCCUUUCAACAGCUAUCUCCUCCUCCUCUUGUGGUGCGUUGGACUUAAGUUUGAAGUAAUAUUUUUACAUUUCAGUGCAUUUACAAGAAGCCCACUUCUUUUAAUGACAACAUAUUUAAUUUUAAUGAUGAUGGAGUUUUUGGCUUCUAUGAAAAUUUCCUUAAAGAACAUCAUGUGUAUUUCAAUUGCGUGGAGCGCCUUUAAACUUCACAUUUCAUUAAGGUCUUAGAGAAAUAUUGAAAAAAUAUUGCAAAUGGUUUCAUUCCUCUUUGGUACCCGGUCAGACAUUCUACAGUUAUUUUACUCCUCACCCCAAUAUUGUGAAAUGCCUUGUAAACAUUUCAGAGCAAAGACAACAGGGGUAGAAUGCACAGAUUGAGUGGCCCUCCUCAUUAGAGGUACAUUUUCACUGUAAUGCAUGUGUAGCCCCCAGGAUAUUGAGCAUCACAUAAUUUAACUGUUGUCAACCCCCGUCGCUACCACUGGGAUGAGUGACUUCUGAAAGAGGGAAAGUGUUAUCCCAGAGAGAGACUAGUUCGCAGUUCAGAUCCCGAUCAAGAAAUGAACAUUUCACCAAAAGGCUUCAAAAUGCCUCCUCCUCUUUCAGGAUGCUGAACAUGGAUCAAGAGGAGAGAGACCACAGGCCCUGGACCAGAACCAUCAAGGUUAGGGAGAGGCAGCAUCCUGGAGCUGUCCCCUUUACCCAGAGUUUUGGAGGGAUGCAGUCUUCUGUAGAAAUUAAUUGAUAAAGACUGACUUGUUCGCUUGGUAUUUUGAAAGAGAGAUUCUGCAAGCUUAUAUAUGCUAUAAAUCACCACAUGUUGAUGCCUGUUGGUGGACAGAUUGGAAAAGACACCUCUUCCUCCUGGUACGGCUAGCACAGGACAGGCUGGAUUUCAGCCCCUACUCCUACCACUCCCUCACACCCACCAAGUGGGUGCUUCUUUGCAGUGCGCAAUCUGUACAACUGUACAUGGCUUGAAAACAUGCAUAAGCUAAAGCUAAUAACUCCUGAAACAAAUUCUGAAGCAAGGAGUGAAUAUAUUAAUGCCAGUGGCAAAGAAGGUGAGCAGUAUGGGCAGACGGAAGCAUCACAGAGACUGCAAAAAGAAUGCUGUAGACCAGCUCAUAGUAGACACUUCUUGGCCAUGCUGGUUAAGAAUUAUCACCAGUUUCUUAGGACUUGGAAACUUGGAAAUACACUGAAUGUCCUUUCUAGUUUGUUAUAGCGUAUGUAUGUGUGGUUCCCAUUAUAGAGUAUAUCUUUGGUCAUUCCUAUUUAAUCUUGAAGCUGUUAAUCCCCAUAUGACUGUUACAUUGAAGAUUCUGAAGCCCAGAAUAUUCAAAACCAGCAUUCCUUACUGGGAAAGGAUGUUUAUACAAACACUGAGGCAUGGAAGGGAGUUAGGGGGAAAAGGGAAAGCAAAUGUCAUUCCAGGCAGAGGAGAUGAGCUAGGCAAGGGUGUGGAGGUGCAUUAAGAGGAUGGAGUCUUUUAGGAAGUGUUUUUGCACCUGAUUAAAUCUGGGUGUCCCUGGAGAUACUGAGUUGAUUAUAGCACAUUCCCUGCCCCGGAGGAGCUAGAAGUAUUUUGACAUCUACCCUAUUUGAUCUUCACACAAAUUCCAUAAAUUAAGUAGCAAAGAUCUUAUCAACUGAAAAUCACUGGGGAGGAAAUUGGAGCCUAAAAAAGUACACAACACUUAAGGUUACACAGCUAAUUCUAGGUAAGCUGGGACUGAAACCCAGCCCCCCAGUGGCCAGCCUGCGUCUUCCAACUAGAUCAGAAGAGGAGGGUAGCUUUUUCCUCCCUCCUUAGGAUAGGGCGGCAAACUUUUUCUACAAAGCAUUGUUAUGAUUAUGAUUACGAUUUAUCAGUCAGUAGAUAUGGAGGAAGAGAGUAUAAUCAGGUCCAUUCACUUCUCUUGGCUACUAGUGAAAAUAUAAAAAUUUUUGCAGGGUGAGUUAGCAGGAGUGAAAUGCAAUGAAAAGUGUAUUUGUGAAGAGAAUAAAGUUGAUUGAAGGAGUGCUGAGUAUUCA